rnacentral:misc_RNA from 1 species
GAAAUGCGAUAAGUAAUGUGAAUUGCAGAAUUCAGUGAAUCAUCGAAUCUUUGAACGCACAUUGCGCCCCCUGGUAUUCCGGGGGGCAUGCCUGUUCGAGCGUCAUUUCACCACUCAAGCCUCGCUUGGUAUUGGGCAUCGCGGUCCGCCGCGUGCCUCAAAUCGACCGGCUGGGUCUUCUGUCCCCUAAGCGUUGUGGAAACUAUUCGCUAAAGGGUGUUCGGGAGGCUACGCCGUAAAACAACCCCAUUUCUAAGGUUGACCUCGGAUCAGGUAGGCAUACCCGCAUCGAUGAAGAAC